UCCGGCAUAGCUCAGUUGGUAGAGCAUCUGACUGUUAAUCAGGGUGUCGACGGUUCGAGUCCGCCUGCCGGAGUCA
rnacentral:tRNA from 1 species